rnacentral:rRNA from 1 species
GACGAACGCUGGCGGCGUGCCUAAUACAUGCAAGUAGAACGCUGAAGGAGGAGCUUGCUUCUCCGGAUGAGUUGCGAACGGGUGAGUAACGCGUAGGUAACCUGCCUGGUAGCGGGGGAUAACUAUUGGAAACGAUAGCUAAUACCGCAUAAGAGUAGAUGUUGCAUGACAUUUGCUUAAAAGGUGCAAUUGCAUCACUACCAGAUGGACCUGCGUUGUAUUAGCUAGUUGGUGGGGUAACGGCUCACCAAGGCGACGAUACAUAGCCGACCUGAGAGGGUGAUCGGCCACACUGGGACUGAGACACGGCCCAGACUCCUACGGGAGGCAGCAGUAGGGAAUCUUCGGCAAUGGACGGAAGUCUGACCGAGCAACGCCGCGUGAGUGAAGAAGGUUUUCGGAUCGUAAAGCUCUGUUGUAAGAGAAGAACGAGUGUGAGAGUGGAAAGUUCACGCUGUGACGGUAUCUUACCAGAAAGGGACGGCUAACUACGUGCCAGCAGCCGCGGUAAUACGUAGGUCCCGAGCGUUGUCCGGAUUUAUUGGGCGUAAAGCGAGCGCAGGCGGUUAGAUAAGUCUGAAGUUAAAGGCUGUGGCUUAACCAUAGUACGCUUUGGAAACUGUUUAACUUGAGUGCAAGAGGGGAGAGUGGAAUUCCAUGUGUAGCGGUGAAAUGCGUAGAUAUAUGGAGGAACACCGGUGGCGAAAGCGGCUCUCUGGCUUGUAACUGACGCUGAGGCUCGAAAGCGUGGGGAGCAAACAGG